rnacentral:lncRNA from 1 species
GAUCAUUGAAAUAUAUAGUUGAUUGAUUGAAUGUAUGACGUGCAGGAGUCUUAAAUGACAAGACUAAGUCAUAGCUAACACUUCGAGAGUGGGACCUUGUUUCUGACUUCCUUUGCGGCUCUUACGGUCACGUUGCUAUCCAAGUCUAAAGGAUGCAUAAUGCCAACCACACACUGCACCUUCUGGUCUGCUACAGUGAUAUGAACCAAACAUUGAAUAUUUUUGCUGCAACUGCUCUCCGGGAUCUUUAUUGUCAACCAAUCAAAGGUAGUUUGGUCACGGUAGAAUCUGAUUCAGAUGUUACCGCAAUGGAUUGACUUGCUGCUGUUUUGUUCAGAGGAUAACGAUUAGGAAGAUGAGGAACCACCCCUGGUUCUUGAAGAACUUGCCCAGGUCACUGACCGAAGCAGCACAAGCUGUGUACUACAAAAGGGACAACUCUGGGCCUACCUAUAACAGGACAACACUAGACCGCAGAGGAUCAUGUCAUUGCAGUACACAAUACCAGAGUACGUCCAUAUUUUCACUGGAUUGCAAGCAACUGCUCUCCUGGAUCUUUAUUGCCGACCCAUCGAAGGUAGUGUGGUCCUCCAAAGCCUCACGAUAGAAUUUGAUUCAGAUGUUAUCGCAAUGGAUUGACUUGCUGCUGUUUUGUGCAGAGGAUAACGAUUAGGGACAACACGGCGCCUACUCUGGUUUGCUAUUACUUUAAGACGUUACCGGCCUCUUUCCUAAAUUCUUUUAUCGUGAACCCCCUCUAAUUUUGUACUCCUUUGACUUUGAUUAAGUAAUAUAUAUAGUUUGUAUUUUUUUAAAAAAGUCUUC